rnacentral:misc_RNA from 1 species
CUCAUCCUCUUCGCCCCAUACACCAAGCGAUUCGGUGGUUCGCUGGAUCUGGCGGCGAUUACGGAUUUUGUGGAUUCCGGGCACGAUCUGAUCCUUGCGGCUGAUACUUCGGCAUCUGACUUGAUCCGGGAGAUUGCUACUGAAUGUGGGGUUGACUUCGAUGAGGAUCCUGCUGCGGUGGUGGUUGAUCACACUAGCUAUGCGGUGUCGGAGACGGAGGG